UAGGGAAUCUUCGGCAAUGGACGAAAGUCUGACCGAGCAACGCCGCGUGAGUGAAGAAGGUUUUCGGAUCGUAAAACUCUGUUGUUAGAGAAGAACAAGGACGUUAGUAACUGAACGUCCCCUGACGGUAUCUAACCGGAAAGCCACGGCUAACUACGUGCCUGCAGCCGCGGUAAUACGUAGGUGGCAAGCGUUGGCCGGAUUUAUUGGGCGUAAAGCGAGCGCAGGCGGUUUCUUAAGUCUGAUGUGAAAGCCCCCGGCUCAACCGGGGAGGGUGAUUGGAAACUGGGAGACUUGAGUGCAGAAGAGGAGAGUGGAAUUCCAUGUGUAGCGGUGAAAUGCGUAGAUAUAUGGAGGAACACCAGUGGCGAAGGCGGCUCUCUGGUCUGUAACUGACGCUGAGGCUCGAAAGCGUGGGGAGCAAACAGG
rnacentral:rRNA from 1 species